GGGGGGGGGGGGGGGAGCGAGGGACGAGCCCGGAGGGACCCAAAAAAUUCCAAAAGAUUCCGGAGGGUCCCAAAAAAUUCCGGAGGGUCCCAAAGGUUUCCAAGACCGCAAAUCCCAAACCUCAAACCUCAAAUGCCAAAAUCCCAAAGCCCAAAAACUCCAAAACCCCAAAAUCCCAAAAAUCCCAAACCCCAAAAACCCCCAAAUCCCCCAAAACCCCAAACCCCAAAAAUCCCAAACCCCAAAACCCCAAAAUCCCCAAAUCCCAAAAAUUCCAAACCCCAAACCCCCAAAUCCCAAAAACCACAAAAAUCCCCAAAUCCUCAAAUCUCAAACCCCAAAAAUCCCAAAAAAUCCAAACCCCCAAAAUCCCCAAAUCCCAAACCCCAAAACCCACAAAAAUCCCAAAAUCCCCAAAAAUCCCAAACCCCAAAAAUCCCCAAACCCAAAACCCCAAACCCCAAAAACUCCAAAAAUCCCCAAAAUCCCAAAUCCCAAAUCCCCCAGAAACCCAAAAAUCCCCAAAGCCCCAGCCCGGCCCCAAUUAGCGCGGCUCGUUAAUUAAAAGGAUUUUAAUUUACAGCAGAAAUAGGAAAGUUCCAGAAUUCCGUACAAAACGCGCUAUGGACAAUAAAUACAGUACAAAACCCGCCGGGAAUCCGGGAAUUCCGGGAAUUUUGGGAAUUCUCCUCUCAGAAAUUUGGGAUUUUUGGGAAUUUUCCUCUCAGAAAUUUGGGCAUUCUCCUCCCGGAAAUUUGGGAAUUUUUAGGAAUUCUCCUCUCAGAAAUUUGGGGAUUUGGGGAAAUUUGGGAAUUUUCCACUUGGAAAUGUGGGGAUUCGGGGAAUUCUCCUCUCAGCAAUUUGGGAAUUUUGAGAAUUUGUGGAAUUCUCAGAAUUAUGGGAAUUCUUCACUUGGAAAUUCAGGAAUUUUGGGAUUUUUGGGAAUUCUCCUCAGAAAUUUGGGGAUUUUGGGAAUUCUGGGAUUUCUCCUCUCAGAAAUUUGGGAUUUUGGGAAUUCUGCUCUUGGAGAGAGAAUUUGGGGUGGCUCCAAAACCUCCAAAAUUUGUAAAAAAAAAAAUAAUAAAGGGGUGAGGGGGAAUUUUGGGGUUUUUGCCCUUUCUGGGGGAAUUUUUGGGGCGGAAUUUUGGGAACAACCCCGGGAACGAUCCCGGGAAUUUCGCUCCGGGGGGAUUUGGGGGAAAAGGGGGGAAGGAGGCGGCUGCGGCUCCCGGCCCCGGCGCUCCGAGGGAUUUGAGAUCUUCCCAAGCUGCUCCGGAUCCCGACCCUGACCCCGAUCCCGACCCCGAUCCCGGGAUUUUCCCUCUGUUCCCGUCCCGAUCCUGAUGGAUUUGGGGUUUCCCCAUUCCCAUCCCGAUGGAUUUGCGGUUUCCUCAUUCCCAACCUGAUCCCGAUGGAUUUGGGGUUUUUCCCCAUUCCCAUCCCAAUGGAUUUGCGGUUUUUCCUCAUUCCCAUCCCGAUGGAUUUGGGAUUUUCCCUCUCUCCUGUUCCCAUCCCGAUGGAUUUGGGAUUUCUCAUUCCCAACCUGAUCCCGAUGGAUUUGGGGUUUCUCAUUCCCAUCCCGAAGGAUUUGGGGUUUUCCCUCUCUCCUGAUCCAGAUGGAUUUCGGGUUUUUCCUCAUUCCCAUCCCGAUAGAUUUGGGAUUUCUCAUUCCCAACCUGAUCCCGAUGGAUUUGGGGUUUCUCAUUCCCAUCCCGAUGGAUUUGGGCUUUUCCCUCUCUCCUGUCCCAAUCCCGAUGGAUUUGGGGUUUCCCACCCCCAUUCCCCUCCUGAUCCCGCUGGGUCCGGGGCUCUCCCCGAUCCCGGGAAAGCUCCGGAAUUCCCACAUUUCCCGCUCCUCUCUCCCAAGUUUCCCAUUCCUCUCUCUGGGGCUGAUCCCACAUCCCCGAAUUUCCCAUCCCGGGGCCGAUCCCGCAUUCCCAAAUUUCCCGUUCCUUUCUCUGUGGCCGAUCUGCAUUCCUGAAUUUCCCAUCCCGCAUUCCCGAAUUCCCGCUGCUCUCCCCGAUCCCGGUUCCCGUUCCUGCUCCGAUCCCGUUCCUGGGAUCCCGCCGCGCUCCCGUUCCCGUUCCCAAUCCCGGCGCGUUGCCGAUCCCGGUCCAUUCCCGGCGUCCCGAUCCGAUCUGCGCCUCCCGAUCCCGGAUCCGUUCCUGGUGUCCCGUUCUGAUCCCGGAUCCAUUCCCGGUGUCCCGUUCUGAUCCCGGCGUCCGUUCCCGGUGUCCCGUUCUGAUCCCGGAUCCGUUCCCG
rnacentral:lncRNA from 1 species